GAACGACCUUGUCCGUCGGAUAAAAAAUAGUUACUGCUGGAAUGAACAGUUUCACCUCGACCGUGCCACCGCGCGUAAAUAGCCUACCCCACCGGGGGCAUUCUCGCCAUUUCGCUUUGUCUGUGGCUGGCGUUCGUGCUAGGGCGAUGAUGAUUAACUGUGGCUGGAAUAAGUGUGCCUUUGAGCAAUCAAGGCACCUGUGGGUAUCAAGUUGGAUCCUCCCUGUUGUCUCUAGAAUCCUUUUUGAUCCUGUGAUACCUAUUGAUCUAUCCUUGGAUGGUCAUUCUUGUUGAGUGAUAACCAGGGCAGCUCCAUUGUGUAAACAGAUUGAUCUGGUGAUAAGAGAUGAUGGGGAUAGGUUAUAUGAUCGAGAAAAGGCGAAUCUGAGCCCACUAUGCAAUAAAACUGCAGCUACCUCCCCUAAUGUGUGUAGUAUUGAAGGCAAAAGAGAACUUUUAAUGUCUUGCUACUUUAAAAUUCCAAAAAGGUGCAUUCUUCCUUUGCUGGUUACUGAUUCUUCAUCUUAAGGUGACCCCAUUUAUAUAGUGGUUCUAUCCAUCUGAUUUGAACUGGGAGAGGGCCACUGAUUCUUGAUCUUAAGGUGACCCCAUUUUUCUAUGCCUCAUGCUCAUGCUGCUCUAUGUUCCCUUUUAAAGAUUCUUGCUUGCAUUUUGGGUUGGUUUUCUGCUCUAUGUUCCCUUUUAGCAUUUCUUUCUGCUGUUGCUGCAUUCCCUUUUUUGUAUAUUACAUGUUCUUUUUGUAUCUCAUUCUGCAUGUAACAUAACUAAAUAAUACAUUGAGAUGAAAGGUUAUAUCUGAUAUCAUUGAGAGGAGCAGGCCAACAUCCCUACCUCCCUCUUCAACUCCCACCCAACACAAUUGUGGUUGGUCCGCUGUCUACAGGUGCUCGUUAUUCUGGCCAGUUUGUCGUGCUCUAUCUUCGACCACCUCUUUGCAGGUUGUCCCCUUCUCCCCCUCUCUUCUAUGCUUUCCAGGCCUAGGCUUACAUUUCUUCCUGUAUGAAGCGGCUGUUAGAUUUUGUUUGGACAAUGGAUGUAUCUGCUUUUUGUUCUCUUAUUGGUAGAAGCCUAGCAUGUAAAACUAUUAUCCCCUGCCUUUAUUUUUGUGCUUGCUUGGCAUUUGGAAUUGGGCAUUUUGGUCACUUCUAUAGAUCCUGGUAGUACCUAGCAUUUUGGUCACUUCUAUAGAUCCUGGUUGUGCUCAAAUUUACACGGGGUGGCUGUCUCUCUUCUAUACUUCUAUAGAUCAGGUUUCUCCGCUUAUGUUUAGCCUUUGUUAGGUAUACCUCUUUGCUGUCUUGAUGUGCGCAUGUGCUACCUUCUAAUAUUCAUGCCUCAUUGCAUUCUAAUAUUUUCCUUGCUUGUACUCAGGUUCCAGCUGUUAUUUCAAUGCAUCUUAUUCAUGGAUGCAUGCUUUACAUGCUCUUCUAGCAUAUGUUUGUUCUUGUGUUGCUUUCUCUUAUCUCCUAACUGCCUCUUGAGUGCAGGAAAAUGCCUCAAUUAAUUAGUUUGUCGCUCCGUUAGUCGCCAUGGUCAGAUGAUGCUUCAGGUUUGCACUUCACAUUGAGGAAAACUGGUGUUUAUCUACAUGAGGGACCUGGUUGUAUUACCUACUACAUGCAUCGUUAACUGGGCACCAAAAAACCUAGAUUGUGCAUCUCUGUUUGUUCAUGUGGUGAUUAUCCUAUUGUUUUCGGCAUCAGAUCGAUUGUAAACAGUGGAUGAAUGCAUACCUUUUCAAGCUUAAGCAUUUGAUGUUUGGUGAUGUGGGCCCUAUGCUCCUAUAGCUUGAAUUAGGGUGGUGCCAGUGAUUCACAAGCAAGGUGAAGUCAUUCAAGUAUUGGCCACUACUAUCUGCAUUAGCUUCGCCUCAGAAAAUAACCUUUUCACUUGGAAGGAGGAAGUAGGAGUUCUCAGUAAUGGUUAACUACAAGCUACAGUAGAUGUUCUUUGAUUAACAAAGACAAAUGUCCUACUAUUAUCGAUGUUUCCAGAGCUUCGUUCUCAAUUUGUCUGUUAUCUCAUUAUGUUUAUGAGCAGCUCCAAAAUCUGACACUUAUGCUUGCCAGUAUGAAUUUCUUGGCUAUAUUUUAUAGAACUUAUGUCUUGACGCUUUGUACUGAACUUGAUGCAGUCCAAUUCAAGUCAGUUGUCCUGAGCAAGCACUAUGUCUUGCUUUUGGUACACUUUGUGCCUUUAUGCUUUGUAGUAAAGUUCAAGGCCAGUUGUCUUGGGAACAACUA